GGACUCGGGGGGAAGUAUGCUCGCAAGAGUGAAACUUAAAGGAAUUGACGGAAGGGCACCACCAGAUGUGGAGCCUGCGGCUCAAUUUGACUCAACACGGGAAAACUUACCAGGUCCAGACAUAGUGAUGAUUGACAGAUUGAAGUUCUUUCUUGAUUCUAUGCAUGGUGGUGCAUGGCCGUUCUUAGUUGGUGGAGUGAUUUGUCUGGUUAAUUCCGAUAACGAACGAGACCUCAGCCAAUCUUAUUAGCUGUCGCUACCGCUAGCGGUCGCCCCGCGCGAAAUCAGCUUCUUAGAGGGACUACUGUAGACAGCAGACGGAAGUUUGAGGCAAUAACAGGUCAGUGAUGCCCUUAGAUGCUCUGGGCUGCACGCGCGCUACAAUGGUGCACACAGCGAGUUCAACCUAGCCUGAGGAGGCCGGGUAAUCUUGAAAGCGCAUCCUAGUCGGGAUAGAUGAUUGCAAUUUUUCAUCUUGAACAAGGAAUAUCUAGUAAACGCAAGUCAUCAACUUGCAUUGACUACGUCCCUGCCCUUUGUACACACCGCCCGUCGCUUCUACCGAUUGAAUAAUCCGGUGAAUUAGAUGGAUAGGGGGAGCCUCGGCGUCCCUCUAGAAGUUUUGUGAACCUUAUUAUUUAGAGGAAGAAAAAGUCGUAACAAGG
rnacentral:rRNA from 1 species